GACGAACGCUGGCGGCGUGCUUAACACAUGCAAGUCGAACGGAAAGGCCCUGCUUUUGUGGGGUGCUCGAGUGGCGAACGGGUGAGUAACACGUGAGUAACCUGCCCUUGACUUUGGGAUAACUUCAGGAAACUGGGGCUAAUACCGGAUAGGAGCUCCUGCUGCAUGGUGGGGGUUGGAAAGUUUCGGCGGUUGGGGAUGGACUCGCGGCUUAUCAGCUUGUUGGUGGGGUAGUGGCUUACCAAGGCUUUGACGGGUAGCCGGCCUGAGAGGUUGACCGGCCACAUGGGGACUGAGAUACGGAGCAGACUCCUACGGGAGGCAGCAGUGGGGAAUAUUGCACAAUGGGCGGAAGCCUGAUGCAGCAACGCCGCGUGCGGGAUGACGGCCUUCGGGGUGUAAACCGCUUUCGCCUGUGACGAAGCGUGAGUGACGGUAAUGGGUAAAGAAGCACCGGCUAACUACGUG
rnacentral:rRNA from 1 species